rnacentral:rRNA from 1 species
UACGAAGGGGGCUAGCGUUGUUCGGAAUUACUGGGCGUAAAGCGCACGUAGGCGGAUAUUUAAGUCAGGGGUGAAAUCCCAGAGCUCAACUCUGGAACUGCCUUUGAUACUGGGUAUCUUGAGUAUGGAAGAGGUAAGUGGAAUUGCGAGUGUAGAGGUGAAUUCGUAGAUAUUCGCAGGAACACCAGUGGCGAAGGCGGCUUACUGGUCCAUAACUGACGCUGAGGUGCGAA